rnacentral:lncRNA from 1 species
GCCGUGGUUUCUCUCUUCUCUCCCCUUGAGCUGCAACACUUGGUCCUAAAACACCUAGCUACAGAGUGGUAAUGGGGCUACCUGUAAAAUGGCUACGCCUACUCCACCUGCGUCUUGGCAAUUUUGCAGGUGGCUUCCUACCUGGGAAUAAAAUGCCUAGUAGCUAGGCGGCAAGCCGCCUGCAAAAUUCACACUUUGUCGGACGGCCAUCCUUUUCUCUCGUCUUGCCAUUUGUCACGUAUAAUACCGUGGGUGUUUUAAAUUUGACGGCCACUUGCUAGACGUUAGGAGGUUUGAUUUACUAUUUUUUUUAAAAAAAUCACCAUCACAUGUUACUAAGAGAAUUUUUCUUUUUUUCCCCUCACCAUAAGAGCUAUU